rnacentral:rRNA from 1 species
GACAGAGGGUGCAAACGUUGUUCGGAAUUACUGGGCGUAAAGCGUGUGUAGGCGGCCACGUAAGUCGGAUGUGAAAGCCCCAGGCUCAACCUGGGAAGUGCACUCGAUACUGCGUGGCUUGAGUAUCGGAGAGGUUGGUGGAAUUCUCGGUGUAGAGGUGAAAUUCGUAGAUAUCGUCUGGAACGCCAAAGGUGAAAACAGCUCGCUGGGGUUGUGCUGACGCUGAGACACGAAAGCCAGGGGAGCGAACGGG